AAAUUGAAGAGUUUGAUCAUGGCUCAGAUUGAACGCUGGCGGCAGGCCUAACACAUGCAAGUCGAACGGUAACAGGAAGAAGCUUGCUUCUUUGCUGACGAGUGGCGGACGGGUGAGUAAUGUCUGGGAAACUGCCUGAUGGAGGGGGAUAACUACUGGAAACGGUAGCUAAUACCGCAUAACGUCGCAAGACCAAAGAGGGGGACCUUCGGGCCUCUUGCCAUCGGAUGUGCCCAGAUGGGAUUAGCUUGUUGGUGGGGUAACGGCUCACCAAGGCGACGAUCCCUAGCUGGUCUGAGAGGAUGACCAGCCACACUGGAACUGAGACACGGUCCAGACUCCUACGGGAGGCAGCAGUGGGGAAUAUUGCACAAUGGGCGCAAGCCUGAUGCAGCCAUGCCGCGUGUAUGAAGAAGGCCUUCGGGUUGUAAAGUACUUUCAGCG
rnacentral:rRNA from 1 species